rfam:Schistosoma haematobium scaffold267_15, whole genome shotgun sequence.
GCACUGCCGAGGAGUCUCACAUAGGACGAAACGGCCGUCUAGUGC